rnacentral:rRNA from 1 species
GGUUAAGCGACUAAGCGUACACGGUGGAUGCCCUGGCAGUCAGAGGCGAUGAAGGACGUGCUAAUCUGCGAUAAGCGUCGGUAAGGUGAUAUGAACCGUUAUAACCGGCGAUUUCCGAAUGGGGAAACCCAGUGUGAUUCGUCACACUAUCAUUAACUGAAUCCAUAGGUUAAUGAGGCGAACCGGGGGAACUGAAACAUCUAAGUACCCCGAGGAAAAGAAAUCAACCGAGAUUCCCCCAGUAGCGGCGAGCGAACGGGGAGCAGCCCAGAGCCUGAAUCAGUGUGUGUGUUAGUGGAAGCGUCUGGAAAGGCGCGCGAUACAGGGUGACAGCCCCGUACACAAAAAUGCACAUACUGUGAGCUCGAUGAGUAGGGCGGGACACGUGGUAUCCUGUCUGAAUAUGGGGGGACCAUCCUCCAAGGCUAAAUACUCCUGACUGACCGAUAGUGAACCAGUACCGUGAGGGAAAGGCGAAAAGAACCCCGGCGAGGGGAGUGAAAAAGAACCUGAAACCGUGUACGUACAAGCAGUGGGAGCACGCUUAGGCGUGUGACUGCGUACCUUUUGUAUAAUGGGUCAGCGACUUAUAUUCUGUAGCAAGGUUAACCGAAUAGGGGAGCCGAAGGGAAACCGAGUCUUAACUGGGCGUUAAGUUGCAGGGUAUAGACCCGAAACCCGGUGAUCUAGCCAUGGGCAGGUUGAAGGUUGGGUAACACUAACUGGAGGACCGAACCGACUAAUGUUGAAAAAUUAGCGGAUGACUUGUGGCUGGGGGUGAAAGGCCAAUCAAACCGGGAGAUAGCUGGUUCUCCCCGAAAGCUAUUUAGGUAGCGCCUCGUGAAUUCAUCUCCGGGGGUAGAGCACUGUUUCGGCAAGGGGGUCAUCCCGACUUACCAACCCGAUGCAAACUGCGAAUACCGGAGAAUGUUAUCACGGGAGACACACGGCGGGUGCUAACGUCCGUCGUGAAGAGGGAAACAACCCAGACCGCCAGCUAAGGUCCCAAAGUCAUGGUUAAGUGGGAAACGAUGUGGGAAGGCCCAGACAGCCAGGAUGUUGGCUUAGAAGCAGCCAUCAUUUAAAGAAAGCGUAAUAGCUCACUGGUCGAGUCGGCCUGCGCGGAAGAUGUAACGGGGCUAAACCAUGCACCGAAGCUGCGGCAGCGACGCUUAUGCGUUGUUGGGUAGGGGAGCGUUCUGUAAGCCUGCGAAGGUGUGCUGUGAGGCAUGCUGGAGGUAUCAGAAGUGCGAAUGCUGACAUAAGUAACGAUAAAGCGGGUGAAAAGCCCGCUCGCCGGAAGACCAAGGGUUCCUGUCCAACGUUAAUCGGGGCAGGGUGAGUCGACCCCUAAGGCGAGGCCGAAAGGCGUAGUCGAUGGGAAACAGGUUAAUAUUCCUGUACUUGGUGUUACUGCGAAGGGG